rnacentral:rRNA from 1 species
UACGUAGGGUGCAAGCGUUAAUCGGAAUUACUGGGCGUAAAGCGUGCGCAGGCGGUUGUGCAAGACCGAUGUGAAAUCCCCGGGCUUAACCUGGGAAUGGCAUUGGUGACUGCACGGCUAGAGUGUGUCAGAGGGGGGUAGAAUCCACGUGUAGCAGUGAAAUGCGUAGAGAUGUGGAGGAAUACCGAUGGCGAAGGCAGCCCCCUGGGCCAGCACUGACGCUCAUGCACGAAAGCGUGGGGAGCAAACAGG